rnacentral:rRNA from 1 species
UUAAAUUGAAGAGUUUGAUCAUGGCUCAGAUUGAACGCUGGCGGCAGGCCUAACACAUGCAAGUCGAGCGGCAGCGGGAAAGUAGCUUGCUACUUUUGCCGGCGAGCGGCGGACGGGUGAGUAAUGCCUGGGGAUCUGC